rnacentral:tRNA from 1 species
GGAGAGAUGGCAGAGUCCGGUUGAUCGCGCACGACUCGAAAUCGUGUAUGCCGAAAGGCAUCGAGGGUUCGAAUCCCUCUCUCUCCGCCA